GUCCCAUUCUGUGAGUUGAGUCAGCACCGCUGAAAAGUUCUUUUCCAGAAAGAGAAGUGCUCGUGGUUAAGCCACUGAGUGACGAAAUCGCUUCCAUGCAGUUUCUUUCGGCGUCCAGAGUUCAGCGCUGUCAGGGACCAUGUGGGUGACUCAGACGCCCUUGGGGUCAAGCACACGAGCACAAGCGGCUCAGUCAGGCAUCACAGCAAUCAUCGUGCGGGAAACGCUCUAGGCUGGCAGUCGGCUGGCCGGGGAGGUCAACGUGUGCACCACGCGUCUGGACCUGGUCCUAGAUGUGUGCCGUGUUGGCCCCCUGCAGCUUCAGAGGAACCCAAGGAAGGAGGGUUAUCAUCCCCAUCUUGAAGCUGGAGGGUGUUGAGAAUGGCUCGUCCGUGGCUGUCCACCAGCCAGUCCGACAGAGACGCCCGAGGACAGACCAGGAACGAUGGCCGUCUCCAUGCCAGGCUGCUCGGUGCUUCUGGAGACAGGACGCUGCCCAGGGAAUUUGCCAAAAUUCUCUCCCCCUCCAACCCGUCCCUCUGGCCUGUGGCUGCGAUUUCUCAUUGUUCCUGUUUCUUGAGCCUUGUGUUUUCUAAAUCAGCUCCCCUCCCGACGGUUGAGCCUCCCGCCCAGCAAUACCGAGAGGACCUUACCCUUUCCCUCAGGCGGACAGUCCGCUGUUGCGUCCUCCCAGAGCCCUGGCGAGCGCCCUGUGGUGGGUCCACGCACCUCUCGGUACUUCGACGCCAGAACCCAUCCCGGUUAUACACCGCGCCUGUCCCACCCGCACCGGGAAGUCCUCCGAAUGAUUCCGGCCCACACCGCAGGGUCCCCGCCCGACCCUGUUCUCCCUCGUCUCGGCUAACGCUUCCCAACUUACUUUUCUUUUUAACCUGAAAUAUCAGAAAAACAGCACACACACACCCUUAUGCCUGGCCAGUCCAGGGCACGAGCCUCCGAUGGCAGCGUUAACAACCUGCCACAGGCUUAGCGGCUUUGAGACAAGACAGCGUUAGCUCACGGUUAGCUCACGGUUAGCUCACGGUUCUGCCGGCUCUGUGCCCUGCUCGGGCUCCGGGGGAGAACCCACCUCCUUGCUGUUUCCAGCGUCCACGGUGGCUGGCGUGCCCGGGCUGUGGCCCCUUCCUCUAGCGGCAAAGCCAGUGACGUUGGGCUCCUCGCAAGUCUCCCCACGUCACGCCCGGCCCUGAUUGCAGCCAGCAAGGGUUCUCCACGUUUAAGGACUCGUGUGAUUGGACUGGGCGCACCUGCAUAAUCCAUUCUACUCCCCCCAUCUCAAGAGCCUUCACCUUCAUCGUACCUGUAAAGCCUCCUUCGCCGCAUAAAGUAAGGUAUUCACAGAUGCAGGGAAUAGGACGUGGGCAUCUUGGGGCCAUCAUUCUGCCUCCUACAGACCGUCAUUCUCACUGGGAAGGGAGGGCGGUGGUCCGUACGUGUGCGGAGUGAUUGCACCUGAGGACCUGUGGGUCUGCACGUCCUAUAAUCCCAGGGCGACCUGCACGCACUCUGGUCCUCAUUCUGACUUUCAGUACUGAGAAUGUGUUGCUUGAAUAUUCACUCAACACCCGUUACGAGUCAGGUGUUCUCCCGAGUGCCUUUGUGAAGUCACUUUCGUGUAAAUCUCCUAAGUCUAAAGCAGAAACAGGAUCAGAGAGGUUAAGUGAAUGAUUCAAGGUCACAGAGCUAACAGGUGGGUUAUGUAAGAGGAUUUGGGGACCCAGGUUUGGUUUUGUAACUCCAACUCUGAAGCCAUUUAUUUCCGUUAAAGCUCAACAAAGUCCUAGACUGGAGUUGACCUUUCACCCCAGGAGCUGCUAGUUUAAAUGUUACACUGAGGUCACCCUAGGAAUAUUCUGAGUCUUCCUUCUGCCAGAUUCCCGAGUGAGACUGCCUAGUGCACGGGGACGGAGAAGCCUGAGGUGGCCAGCCUGCGGGCCCUCACAGGCGGCCACUUUCCCUUUCGCGUGUGGGGCUGAGUUCUGGAGACCCGGGCUUGACCUUUCACCCCUCAGUGCCCUUUUCUUGACCUUGGACAAGUCCCUCGGUCUCUGUGCCUCAGGUUCAUGUCCCCGAGGAACCACUUACUGCUGUGAGGCCCUGAACAACUCGCUGCACGUCCUGAAGCCUCGGUUUCCCCAAGUGUCACCUGGCGGGAGCAACGGCACCCACGUCCCAGGGACGCCCAGCACACAGCCCCCACACGGUGCAGACCAGCAGCCUGACCGACGGCUGUGGGACACUCUGGCGGGACAGCUGUGGGCUCUAGAGAGACCAGUUCCUAAAUGAUGUGCUCUUCCAAGACUUACUUUGAAAAUCAUUUAUUUUAGAGUCUAGUAAUACAGGACUACAACCUUGUCUGUGAAAAAGAGAGCAAUUGCAAACACUCAGAAGGAUGACAAGUGAAUGGGACGCCCCCGACGCCCACCUCCCUCCACGGCCUCCUGGGGAGGUGACCACUGUCAGCAUUUUGAUGCCUCUGUACAGGUGUUCUUCCAGAUGAAAGCUCGUUCCUAGUUGCAGGGGAGGUGUCUGGGGCUAGUGUCCCCCAGUGUCAACUCAGGCGCCCCGAAGCUGGGCUCGCGGGCAUCCAGGCCUGACCCACGUCCUCGGAGACUGGGGCCUGCCCGGCGCUGAGCUGGUGCUGGGCCGGGCCGGGUGAGGCCAGGAGGGGGCGCCCGGGGUCCACGCGGGCAGCUGUGUGGCUGGCCAGCCGCCUGAACAGAAACCACACUGGCCACCAGCUCGUUUAGGGAGGCUGGGCCAGGGAUCCAACAAGGCAGCUUCGUGGGACGACUGGGCAUCACAUCCGGCCAGAGCUCACCAAAGUGCGGUUUGCUGUAGGCAAGAACACAGAGUGAGACAUUUCCCCGAGUGGCCACAGGGUCGUCCUCCAUCCGCCGAAGAGCAUCUUCUUACUGUCCCCAGGCAGGUCCCAGUUUUAGAAGGUCACAGACAGGCCCCGUGUGGUUGGGCGGGCUUCACGCACGGCAUGUCCUACCACAGCUGACACCCGUCUGGAGGCCACCGGACUGCACACAGGCACAUGGCUUUCUCCCUGCAGGGCAGCUUCUCAAGGAGUUCAGGGGCUGAGGGAUGGCAGGUGGACCUCCUCUGCCGGGGAGGAUGCUCCCCAAAGUCCGGACGCAUCACAGUUUGCUGUAGAAAUGGUAGAAGGAAAAACAGAGAACAGUUGAAGACUUGCUAACUACCUGCUAUCAACAGGAAGGGGGCCCCGUAGCACGUGCAAGAAGGCUGGUGUUUGUGCAGAGAAUGGAAGGAAUGUGGUCCUGAGCCGCCAGCCCCUGUGGCCAGGACAAAGGGCCUUCCUGCCUGUCUCCUUGCUUCUCUCCAGUGUUGGACACAGCACCGGGCAUAUCCGGACAACGGCCUCCGAGGACCUUCCUGCUCAGGCCCCUCUCUUCCCUCCGUUCCUGCGCUUGACGCCCCCCACGCAGUGGGAGCCACACCGCCCCCCUGGGUUUUCCUUGCCCCUGUGGGGCAUGCCCUAUCUUGGGGCCUCCGCCCUGGCUAACGACCUCUGCUGGAGCACUCUUCCUCAGCCAUCCAGGUGCCCUGCCCCUGCUCCUUCCCUGGGCGUCCCUCAGGCGUCCCCUCGAGGGACACCUUGUCAGUGAGCGCUAACCUGACUGCUGGUGGUGCUAGAGAGGGGUUCCCGACCGCUCCCUGUCACUUCAUUCCCCUUAACCUGUGCGAUCCCCCAUAACACUGGCAUCUUCCCAUGUACUUUGUUCUAAAUUGUAUUUACUCUUUAUCUCUCUUCCCUGAGCAGAAAUGUGAACCCCACGAACACAGCUCACACUAUUUUGCCAAUGAAUCCAAAAUGCCUAAAACGGAGCAUCCACAUACUUGGUGGUCAAGAAGUCCUUUUUCACUUAAUACAAUAGAGAGACUACUUAAUAUCAUGACAUUUGCUAUGUGGAAAAUCUGGGCGAUAAAAAUUGUGUACAGUCUACUUUCAUAUUUAUGGAGAAAAACAUAAGCAUUGAAAUAUCAGAAGUGUAUGACCCAAAAUAUUAACGGUGCUUAUCGUCAGGUGGUAAGAUUACAAAGGAUUGCUGCUGUAUUUUUGGAAUGUUUAGGGUUUUUAAAGCAAGUGAAUGUUUUAGCCCAGAAGAGCCACACGUCACCUCCACUCACAAUUCACUGUCCAUAACGAGUGGUCCGGCCCCAAACCACUGCCCUGGGCUAGAAAGUGUGAUCCUUCCGUGUGUCCCGCAGGUGAAGACCUGGAAACACGUGGUGACGAGUAGAAAUCACGAACACCUCAUGAGAGCUGGAACCCGGCUUUAUUUUCCCACAUAGCAUGCAAGUUUUCUCAAAGCCAUUAUUUGAUAAUCCAUGUUCUUCCUUCUAAUUUGUGAUGCCACCUCUGUCCUACCGAGGACAUUUUUCUGGCCUCAUACUCAGUUCCAUUAGCGUCUGUCUCUGCUUCUGUUAUCAGCUCCACGCCCUGGCAUCACUGUGGCUCGGUGACGUGUCUGCUGGGACUCCCUCUGUCCUUGCUCUUUGUCAAAACUCUUAGCUCCUCGUGUGCAUUAGUUCCUUCGUAAAAACUUCAAAGUCAGCGUUUCAGGUUCCCUAAAUAAUCCCAUUGGGAUUUAAUUGAAGUUGCAUUACAUUUAUGAAUUAAUUUGGGGGAAAUUGUCAUCUUUAGAGUAUUAGGUCUUUCCAUACAUGGAUACAGUGUUCAGCUUUUCUCCUUUAUCUUCAAUAGGGUCCGGAAAUUUUAUUUAUUGAAGUCUUGUUCUGUUUUCGCUAGAUUAUUUCCUACACAGAUCACAGAUUUUGCUGUAGCAAAAUUGUGAGUGUAGAGGUAUAUAAAUGAUUUUGUGAAUGUAGAGGAAUAUGAUUUCAAAAUAUGAACCAAAACAUGAUUUUGAUAUGUUGAUGUUAUAUUUGGAAACACUGAAAUGUCUGUCCUGUCCAAAGAUUUUUAUUCUUUUGGGCUUUUCUAGGUAAGUGACCAAAUUGUCUACCAAUAAUGGUAAUUUGGACUCUUCCCUUUUUACCCUUAUACCUGAUGUUAUUUUUACCUUCUUUUUCUUUGUUAUUUUUCUUUUCCUGAUUUUUGGCCAGAAUUCCAGGACUGUGUGGACCAAGUAUCAAUGAAGUAGGCAGGCUUCUCCUAUUUGCAGUAUUCAUAGGACUGUGACUCAAGUUUCUCCAUAUGUGCUGAUAGUAGAAUAUACAUUGUUUGCUCUGAAAGAGUUUACACAAGAUUGCAAUGAUCUAUUCCUUUCCCUUGAAAGGAACUUCUGACAAAACAAAUGAGUAAAACUAUCUAGGCCAGUGUUUCUGGGAAUAUUUGUAAACCACUGUUUUUAAUUGUUUUAGUAGUUAUAUAAUGAAUAAAACUUCCUUUUUCUGUUA